GUCAUCUUCCCAGCACACACACUGCUCAAGGUCAGCUCCACGCUCACUGCCACCGCUGAUGGGAAUCCCUUUUUGAACCACCUGCCUCGGCAGCCCUGACACCAGCCACAAAGCACAGAAACGGCGGCUCUGCAAGAACUAACUUGACUGAGGAGGGCGAUGCUCACAAGCAGGGGCUGAGUCUCUGCGGGUGAGACGUUUUGGAAGAGAACACCGAGCCAAGACACUGCCCUUCAUCUCAUACGGCACCCAGUAACACAUCGAGGUGAGGAGCUUCUUGCCAUCUGAUUGCUCACUAGAAACACCUGAAGUUGACCUAGCAGCCUCAAGAUACUUAGAAGUACGUUCCUCACAGAACAUUACUGCAGUCACAAAACCUGUUCAUAUUUUUAAAAGCAACAAAGAAGAUAUAUGUACCCUGGGAAAGUCUAGCAAGCAUUACUUAUGUGUGUGUGUGUGUGUGUGUGUGUGUGUGAGAGAGCUGAUGGACUGACUGAGUAUGUAGCACAGGGCUAACAUGGGAAAAGGUAAUGACCACUUCAGAAAGAGAGAGCUGGAAGAACCACUCAGCAAGAUCCUGUCUCUCCUGUUGAAGAGCAACCUAAGCACUGACCACUACACCUCAGGGAACUCACUGAUGUGUGUGCUAAUUACCAACAUAGGGUAUAAGAUCAUUUCUGGCUUAAUCUGUUUAGCUGCACUUGCAUCGAACAUAUGCUUGUUGGCAAACAUUUCCGAUGUCCUUCCUCAUGUCCUUCAUGUUGCCUUCUUACCAUAAGCCAACUUUUGUGACAGCUGGCUUCAAACACUGAUACAAAAUAUCAGCUAAAUAAACUCCACUGGUUUGUCCUUA